CCCUUAGAGUUUGAUCCUGGCUCAGAACGAACGCUGGCGGCAGGCCUAACACAUGCAAGUCGAACGAUAAACCACCUUCGGGUGGUGGACAGUGGCGCACGGGUGAGUAACGCGUGGGAACGUACCUUUUAGUACGGAACAACCAUUAGAAACUGUAGCUAAUACGGUAUGCCUUCGUAAGAAGAAAGAUGGCCUAUGCUUGCAUGCUAUCGCGGGCAGAGCGGCCUAUGUCCCAUUAGCUUGUUGGUAGGGUAAUGGCCUACCAAGGCUACGAUGGGUAGCUGGUCUGAGAGGAUGAUCAGCCACACUGGAACUGAGACACGGUCCAGACUCCUACGGGAGGCAGCAGUGAGGAAUUUUGCACAAUGGGCGCAAGCCUGAUGCAGUAACGCCGUGUGAGUGAAGAAUGUCUUUGGAUUGUAAAGCUCUUUCAUCUGGGACGAAAUACUAACAUGAAAAUAUUUUGUUAGUCUGACGGUACUAGAAUAAGAAGCACCGGCUAACUCCGUGCCAGCAGCCGCGGUAAUACGGAGGGUGCAAGUGUUGUUCGGAAUGACUGGGCGUAAAGGGCGCGUAGGCGGGCUUAUGUGUCCACUGUGAAAUCCCCAGGCUUAACCUGGGAAUUGCAGCGGAAACUGUAAGUCUUGAAUGUUCGAGAGGGUGGUAGAAUUCCAGGUGUAGGAGUGAAAUCCGUAGAUAUCUGGAGGAACACCGGAGGCGAAGGCGGCCAACUGGCAGUGUAUUGACGCUGAGGUGCGAAAGCGUGGGGAGCAAACAGGAUUAGAUACCCUGGUAGUCCACGCCGUAAACUAUGGAUACUAGGUGUUUGGGGAGUUAACCCCCUGAGUACUACAGCUAACGCAUUAAGUAUCCCGCCUGGGGAGUACGGUCGCAAGGCUAAAACUCAAAGGAAUUGACAGGGGCCCGCACAAGCGGUGGAGUAUGUGGUUUAAUUCGAAGCAACGCGCAGAACCUUACCUACCCUUAACAUCCCGGGACGAUUGCAGAGAUGUAAUUUCCUCUUCGGAGGCUCGGUGAUAGGUGCUGCAUGGCUGUCGUCAGCUCGUGUCGUAAGAUGUCUGGUUAAGUCCAAAAACGAGCGCAACCCCUAUCCUUAGUUGCCAUCAUUAAGUUGGGGACUCUAGGGAGACUGCCGGUGUUAAACCGGAGGAAGGCGGGGAUGACGUCAAGUCCUCAUGGCCCUUACGGGUAGGGCUACACACGUACUACAAUGGCAGAAACAAACCGUUGCGAUACCGCGAGGUGGAGCUAAUCGGUAAAACACUGUCUCAGUCCGGAUUGGAGUCUGCAACUCGACUCCAUGAAGUUGGAAUCGCUAGUAAUCGCUGAUCAGCAAGCAGCGGUGAAUACGUUCCCGGGCCUUGUACACACCGCCCGUCACACCACGAGAGUAGUCCUGACCAGAAGUAUGUGAGCUAACCGCAAGGAGGCAGCAUACCAAGGUUAUGGCCGCAAUUGGGGUGAAGUCGUAACAAGGUAACCAAGGG
rnacentral:rRNA from 1 species